rnacentral:lncRNA from 1 species
AAUCAAAUUAAAUGCUGUUGACAAAGAAUCAUUAAUGGCAUAGGAAAAUGAUUGUUACAUCCUUCUAAGUGUUAAGCAAAAAUACACCUUAAAAUUUUUUAAAAAACACAAAGGAUAUACAACUAUGUAAUAUCAUUUAAAAAUACGGAAAAAAUCUCGAAGGAUGUAUACUAAAAUGGUAGUUGCCCUAGGGUGGUGGGUUUUAUGGGUAAUUUUUUACUCCACUCAUUUCCACUUUUUUCUUUUUUCAAGAUUUUCUUCGAUAAUCAUUUAUUUUAUACAAUCAGAAGACAGUUAAGGUAAGGGGGGAAAAAAGAGUGGUAAUGGAGGGAGGGCCUCCCCUUAUCUCCCUCCUCCUGCCCAGGAAAGGCUGCACCGGUUUGUCUGGAAACUGGUGUGUCCACAGGAAAAGGACAUUUCCAUCCCCUUACCUCAUCAAGAUGACCAAGCCAAUCACCAAGCUGAGAAUAAGGACGCCUGAAAUGGUGCCCACAAUAGUGAGGAUCAGCUGAAAUUCUGAAAAGGAAAAGAAGAGUAAGAAUGGCCUUCAACAAGCUGGUCCCAGCUGUCUACCGCACAGGCCAGUCCCAGCCUCGUGAUCAAGUUGGAGGAGUUGGGGGAUCAGACCCAGGAGUGCCUUGGAGAGGGAUGAGCUCCCCUGGAAGUUCAGAGAGACUCUGUUGCAGAGGAUCACAGAGGGCUUCUAGAGGAAACAGACAGGUCAGUCAGUGGUGCCAGGACACCAGCGAGGC